AUUGAACGCUGGCGGAAUGCUUUACACAUGCAAGUCGAACGGCAGCACGGACUUCGGUCUGGUGGCGAGUGGCGAACGGGUGAGUAAUGUAUCGGAACGUGCUCAGUCGUGGGGGAUAACGUAGUGAAAAUUACGCUAAUACCGCAUACGAUCUAUGGAUGAAAGCGGGGGAUCGCAAGACCUCGCGUGAUUGGAACGGCCGAUAUCAGAUUAGGUAGUUGGUGGGGUAAAGGCCCACCAAGCCAACGAUCUGUAGCUGGUCUGAAAGGACGACCAGCCACACUGGAACUGAGACACGGUCCAGACUCCUACGGGAGGCAGCAGUGGGGAAUUUUGGACAAUGGGCGAAAGCCUGAUCCAGCCAUUCCGCGUGCAGGAUGAAGGCCCUCGGGUUGUAAACUGCUUUUGUACAGAACGAAAAGGUUUCUACUAAUACUAGGAGCUCAUGACGGUACUGUAAGAAUAAGCACCGGCUAACUACGUGCCAGCCGCCGCAGUAA
rnacentral:rRNA from 1 species